rnacentral:sRNA from 2 species
AAUAGCGCUUUUCCAUCAGGAGUUAGCAGGGAUGGGGAGAAAGUCAUCACAUCCAACUGUCAAGCAGCUCAAGGUUGAUCGUCAGGGCACCCGAAACGCAGUCGAGAGUAGUCCCGGAAGACUUGAUUGUUAUCCAGUGGUUUGAGGUGCUGCCCUGUCUAAGUUCCUUUUUAAAAGUCAAGGAACAAAUGGAAGAGGCGACGGGGCAACCUUUCCGCAAGACACUACCUCCAAUUAUGUUUUCCCUUUUCCUCUCCUUUUCGUAAUUUCUAGUUCGUAGAGGAGCUAACUUACGGAGCUAUAUUCCUUGCAAAACCAGAGGCCCGAGCUUGAUUGGAAUAUGCGAGCUUUGUUUUCUGUGUUUGAUCUUUACUUUACGCUGGCAUCGACUGAAUUUUGAUUGAUGACAGACAUACUUGACACAGGCC